GCCAGCGCCACUGUGGAGCUGUCGCCGGCUGCCAGCGCGCGUCCGACACUCUGCAGCACUGUGCUCUUUCUCAAAGCUCUAGCUCCGUUCAGUCCUUCGGGAGUGGUGACCCUAGACUCCUAUCACUAGGAGCGCCUUCUGGAGCAAAAGGAGGCUCUACUUGGAUCUGGAAGUCCUGUAGCUGAGGACAAUCCCCAUUUAGUCCUCAGCGAGUUUUUGAGCAGUUAUUUUUGGACAGCUUGUUCUGUUUUUUGGCAUGGGGAGGGGGAGUCUUUAGGACCGACGCAUUCCGUGUCCUGUUCAGUAGUCUGUGUCCCAGAUAGAAGAGCAAUGGCUGGGAUGAUAAAAAGCAUCGUCUCCCUAAUCACAAGUAACCUGCUUUGGACAGUAGCAGGCUGCCACCAGCCAGUCCUUCUGAGAGAAGACUAAAGUUUCCUCCUCGCUUGUGGUCAUCUUGCCUUCAGUUGAUUCUCAAGGUGUCUAUGGCUUCACCUCAUUGGCAUGCUGCCAGGACAACCAGGGAGUGGGUUGGAGCGAGUGGGUGCUGUUUCUGCAUCCCAGGAAUAUUGGGCCACAUCUGCGGCAUGUGGAUCAUUAUCCAUAUUCAAGGUGACCUGACUCACACCUGGGUGCUGUACAUGCUUCAGCAGCCUGCCUCUCCGGCACUUCAGAUAAGUUUUCCCUCCUCCUUCAUCAUGGAAAAGAGGAGUCCACGGCUCCCCUUAGUGAUUCCAAGCAAAGCCAGGGUGGGGGGGGGAUGCCCUGAGAGACACCAAAUUCUCAUCAGUUCCACUCUCUUCUCCUUAGUAGCCUCUUGGGUAGUUCAUUUUUACUGGCAAUAA
rnacentral:lncRNA from 1 species